GUCACUUCACAAGACACGGGAAACCUCUGUUGGUCUGGAGGAGCUGCAGCAGUUAUUUCUGCAAAAACGUCCACUGUACGUUCACUAGAUAUUCUCAGAGCUAAACUAACUCUUCUGCAGUGUGUAAUGUGCGCGCAUUCACGUGAGAUGUGGAGAGAGAGAGAGGGAGAGAGACAGAGAGAGAGAGAGAGAGAGAGAGAGGGCGGGAGGAAGAGAGACGGACAGAGAAGAAGUGACAGACAGAGAGACGGGAUGUGAUGUUACUCUAAGCCGAGAGUGGACUCUAGCGGAUAUACUGUCACUCUCACACACACACACACACACACACACACACACACACACACGUCCUCUUACUUGAUAUUUUACUUCACUUGUUUCACACGACCGUGAUCAGAGGAAAACGUAGUUUGAACUAUUUUGAUGUUUAAAGGUUUUAUGAUUAAGUUUAUUGAAACCCUUUAAGGUACAUUUUCCUCUCAAAUUCAUCCCCCUGACCUUACAGCAACCGGACCAUAACGGCUUCCUAAAACACAGAAAUAUGAGUUGAGUUAUUAUUCAAGAAGUGUCCAAAUGAGAGGCAUUUUUUAAACAUCAGUUAGGUAAAAAAAAAAACGUCAAUUGGAACACAUUUGUGAUGCUUUAUUUAUACCCAGAGGAAAAUGUUAUGGAGCUGAGUCGAUUAGUCAAACAACAGAAAAUUAAUCUGGAACUAUUGACUAUUUAAACAAUCUUUUAUUUACAGAUUUUUUUUUAUUUAUUUUGAUUUUUUUAUUGGUGGUGCAAAAACAAAAACAGCAGUGACAAGUAGUACGACAAUGAUAAGAGCAGGGCAGAAAUACCCGAGAAAAUAAAAUGAAAACAAGGUGGCGCUCAGAGUGAAACACCUUGUUUAUCACCAAACAAACCAAAUAAAACCAACAGAACAAAAACUAAAAAAGGAUGAAAUAACAGUCAACAUAAUUCUAGUAAUACCAUCUUGAAUACAUUCAAAUUAUUAUUAUUAUUAUUAUUAUUAUUAUUAUUAUUAUUAUUAUUAAUACAAAUAUUAAUAAUAAUAAUAAUAAUAAUAAUAAAUAUGUGGUAAUAAUAAGGAAGGAAUUACAAAUAAAUAAAUAAAUGAGUAGUUGGAUAUUUAGAAGUGUCAGCUAUUGUAGUAUGGAGGGACCUGGCAGGGCUUGAGAACUGUCUAUUAAGGUGUGUGCGUGUGUUUGUGUGUGUGUUUGUUUGUGUGUGGGGGGGGGAGGUUAUUAUUUUAAUAAUUGAUGAUUGUAGAUAAUUUUUCAAGCAAAAAUGAUCAGGCUCCACC